rnacentral:rRNA from 1 species
AGAACGAACGCUGGCAGCGUGGAUUAGGCAUGCAAGUCGAACGGGAUCGGGAAGGUAGCAAUAUCGGCCCGUGAGAGUGGCGGAAGGGCGAGGAACACGUGAGCAACCUGUCCUUGAGGUGGGGAAAACCGUUGGAAACGACGGCUAAUACCGAAUGCGGCGCCCGGAGACAUCUCCGGCGCGCUAAAGGGGGCCGCAAGGCUCCCCCUCUUCGAGGGGCUCGCGCACCAUCAGCUUGUUGGCGGGGUAACGGCCCACCAAGGCUCACGGUUAGCUGGUCUGAGAGGAUGGCCAGCCGCACUGGGACUGAGAUACUGCCCAGACUCCUACGGGAGGCUGCAGUCGAGGAUCAUUCGCAAUGGGGGAAACCCUGACGAUGCGACGCUGCGUUGGAGGAUGAAGGCCCUCGGGUCGUAAACUCCUGUCAUGAGGGAAAAGGCGAAGGGACCCAACACGUCCCCUAGUUGAUGGUACCUCAAGAGGAACGGGCGGCUAACUCUGUGCCAGCCGCGGC